GGACUGAAAAAAGAGAAGAUUGGAACAUCACCGAGAUCUACAAACAAACCAAAUGAGGACCAAAUGAGGUCAAAGCCUCAUUGUUCUAAGCUAAAUAUACAACUGAAACGUAUGCUUUUGCCAACUAGAACAAGAAUAAUUGUUCCCAGAUCUUGCUUCUUUAAAUAAGAAAAGGAAAGGAAAAACCAAGACAAGACUCCAAGAUAACUGGUAAACCUCAUGAAGGUAUCAUAAGGAACAAUUAGUUCAUUGGCUCUGAAAACGUAGUGUUACACAUAAAUGCAAUAUGAAAUUAUCACGACUUUUCAGUGUAAUGCCCAAUGACAAUUCAAGUAGGAGCUAGGCAACAAAACAUUCUCUCUUCCACUUGAGCAUAUAAAAAGUCGCAAUAUUCUGGACUUACAGUGAAAUAUCCCACAAGUGACAGCAAGCCCAUAAUACUGCUCUCAGAGACUAUAGCUAAAUCAGGAAAUGCUGCUGCAUAAUAACUUUGAAUCAUAAAACAGUGUAUUGAGCAACUUAAAAAGCAAUUUGUACUUCAAAAUUUAAUAUUUUAUUCCCUGCAGCCACACUUUUAUUUCAAUUUUCCAUCACUUAUAUGUAGAGUCCCAUAACUAAUAUUCAUUAGUAAGAAAUACACAUUUCAGUUUGCCAAGUUUUUGAAUUAUUAAUAAUGAUAUAGCUAUUACAUCAGCCUUAGUAAACAUAAGAAUGCCAUUCCACCCAAGAGUGCCUCUGCUUGUGUAAAUAGAUCUGAAUUCAGUCUGCCAUAAGUAGGAAUGCUUUACAUUUUGCAAUUUCCAGAGCAUUUACUAAUCAAGGUACAGAAGAAGAAGAAGAGUUUGGAGAAGGGUAGGGAGAUAAGCAGAAAAAGCAACUAAGAGGCAGGUAUCAAAUAAAGCAGCCCUCACCCUGCCAUAUUUCAUAGCAUUGCACACUAUCCCCAACCCCUGCCUCGGUCAUGAACUAAGCAGCCAGAACUCCCAGUGACUUUGUGAAGACUGACAUUUACUUAUUUCAGUAAUUUGAUUCCCCAUCCCCCUAAAUACCAAAGUGGUGUAAAUUACAAUAGAUUUAGACACCUAUUGAAUGCCAAAUCAACACAAGCAAUCCAUGUUUCCAUUAUACUCCCAUUUUCUAAUCAAUAUAUACCAAAUGUGUAAUUCAUUAUAACAGCUGCAUCUCCACAAAAUUAGGUUGACAGCCUCCUUCAUCCAAUAUAAACAUUUAUAAUAAGUCAAGCCCUGCAUGGGUACAAAGUUGAUAUCCGCAUGUGCAAAAAUGUUCUGGAGGUACUAAAUGAUUACUAGAGUCCUGCAAAUCUGUGGAAGUCUGCUUUAUAUCCGUGGAUAUCCACACCCACAGAUGUGAAUGUAGGUACUUAUAGAUAUAAAGAAGACAUCCAUGGAUUUGCAAGGCUCUAGUAAAAAGCCAUCACUGAAACAGUGCUGAAAAGCUUAACCUAGAAGAAGCUGUAAUAAACAACAGUACGCUGAUAUGAAGAAAUGGGAAGCAGGCUAGUACUCACUGUAUUUCACCAUGAAAACACAUUUUCACAUGACAGUGAUCAGAGGGGACUUUGCUGACUAACUUCACUGGUGAAGGCGGAGCAUUCGGUUUAUGAUUGUUCUGACACAGAGCAGUUAUCUGGCUGCGCCAAAAGGACAGGAGACAGUUGAUAUGGAUUUUAAUCAAGCUGCAAAUGUGAUAUAUGUGUCUAGGGCUGCUCAGCAGAUGAAGUGUACAGUGUAUGCAAAUCCUCGUUUAUUCAAAUCACCUGGCUUCCACCAGGCCCCCUUUAUUUUCCAUCUAGGUCCCCCAGCCCAGUGUUUCUCAACCUUUAAUUUUUUUAUAAAGUAUCCCUUUUUCAAAAAAA